ensembl:lincRNA Gm29051 predicted gene 29051
UCACCGGAGCCCUAAUGAUUGCAGCCAUUUGAGGAGAUGCCAUCAAUUACAGCAAGGAGCUCAUUCAGAAGUGAAGGAUGGGCUCUGAGGAUGCGCUCUCUCCCCAGUUGCUCAGAGGAACCAAAUUAUUUCUGGGAAGACUAUUUCACUCAGAUUAUAUAUGACAUUCAAAAAGCCCCAAAAUGACUUUUGAGUAGUGUUCCAUGUACUAAUCAAACCACAUAUUGUAGGAAACAUUAUGGAGUAUUCCAAACAGAAAAUAUUAAAUUGAAAGUGUUUAGGUUCCCUACAUAGUUUCUUACUAGUUAUUUCGACUGGUCAUUAUCCAUUUGGUAAAACUUCCCAAACAACUCAUUAAUAUUUAAAUAG